UGGUUAGAGUGUAGGGACGGCAGGUAGCCUAGUGGUUAGAGUGUAGGGACGGUAGGUAGCCUAGUGGUUAGAGUGUAGGGACGGCAGGUAGCCUAGUGGUUAGAGUGUAGGGACGGUAGGUAGCCUAGUGGUUAGAGUGUAGGGACGGCAGGUAGCCUAGUGGUUAGAGUGUAGGGACGGCAGGUAGCCUAGUGGUUAGAGUGUAGGGACGGUAGGUAGCCUAGUGGUUAGAGUGUAGGGACGGCAGGUAGCCUAGUGGUUAGAGUGUAGGGACGGUAGGUAGCCUAGUGGUUAGAGUGUAGGGACGGUAGGUAGCCUAGUGGUUAGAGUGUAGGGACGGUAGGUAGCCUAGUGGUUAGAGUGUAGGGGCGGCAGGUAGCCUAGUGGUUAGAGUGUAGGGACGGCAGGUAGCCUAGUGGUUAGAGUGUAGGGACGGUAGGUAGCCUAGUGGUUAGAGUGUAGGGGCGGCAGGUAGCCUAGUGGUUAGAGUGUAGGGGCGGCAGGUAGCCUAGUGGUUAGAGUGUAGGGGCGGCAGGUAGCCUAGUGGUUAGAGUGUAGGGACGGCAGGUAGCCUAGUGGUUAGAGUGUAGGGGCGGCAGGUAGCCUAGUGGUUAGAGUGUAGGGGCGGUAGGUAGCCUAGUGGUUAGAGUGUAGGGACGGUAGGU